rnacentral:rRNA from 1 species
UGGGGAAUAUUGCACAAUGGGCGCAAGCCUGAUGCAGCCAUGCCGCGUGUGUGAAGAAGGCCUUCGGGUUGUAAAGCACUUUCAGCGAGGAGGAAGGUGGUGAGCUUAAUACGCUCAUCAAUUGACGUUACUCGCAGAAGAAGCACCGGCUAACUCCGUGCCAGCAGCCGCGGUAAUACGGAGGGUGCAAGCGUUAAUCGGAAUUACUGGGCGUAAAGCGCACGCAGGCGGUUUGUUAAGUCAGAUGUGAAAUCCCCGGGCUCAACCUGGGAACUGCAUUUGAAACUGGCAAGCUAGAGUCUCGUAGAGGGGGGUAGAAUUCCAGGUGUAGCGGUGAAAUGCGUAGAGAUCUGGAGGAAUACCGGUGGCGAAGGCGGCCCCCUGGACGAAGACUGACGCUCAGGUGCGAAAGCGUGGGGCAGCAAACAGGAUUAGAUACCCUGGUAGUCCAGCGCUGUAAACGAUGUCGAUUUGGAGGUUGUGCCCUUGAGGCGUGGCUUCCGGAGCUAACGCGUUAAAUCGACCGCCUGGGGAGUACGGCCGCAAGGUUAAAACUUAAAUGAAUUGACGGGUCUAGCUGUUCC